rnacentral:lncRNA from 1 species
CAAAUUUACGAUUACGAGUAAUAAUUUUUUUUAUCCAACAAAAUAUGGGUAAAAUGAGUGAGUGUCCGUUAAAUUAUAGACAUUUUGGACAACCCACGGAUAUCCAUGAAAAUCUGCAUAUAUAUUUUAAUUAAAAAAUAUAUAAUCUUUAUGAUAUUUACUUUAUAAUUAUGGCAACUUAAAUAAUUUUGUAUCCUAAAAAUUUAGGAUAAUAAAAUAUUUUUAUAUUAUAUAAUUUAUGCGUUUUUAAGAUAUUAUAUUAUUUAUUAUAGGGAAAACUUCAAAAAACCCCCCUGUGGUUUCGUAGAUUCUUACUUUGCCCCCAUGUGGUUUAAAGUGUAUCAAAUUACCCCCUGUGGUUUCGUUUUUAUCUUUUCAGUAGCUUUUUCAUUAAUAUUUCGUUAAAUUAUAUACAAAAAACUUCAGAUACACAUCUAGAUUUAUCAAAUAUUCACUUUAAUUAGUACCCUUUAAUUUUAACUUUAUUACUGAUUUAAGAAAAAAAAAUAAUGAAAUUGAUAAGAAAAAGAAAAAAAACAAAACCACAUGGGAGCAAAUUGAUACAUUUU